CAUGGCCUUUUGAGGAUAAUUUAAGGUCUGACCUGCCCGCUGAGGAUUUGAAUGGCCGCAGUAUUUUGACUGUGCUAAGGUAGCAUAAUCAUUAGUUUUUUAAUUGAAAGCUGGAAUGAAUGGUUUGAUGAAGAAAAAGCUGUCUCAAAAUUAUAAUUAAAAUUUUAUUUUUAAGUUAAAAAGCUUAAAUUUAAUAAAAAGACGAGAAGACCCUAUAGAGUUUAAUUAAUUUUAAAAUUUUAAGAUUUGUAGUUUUAAUUUUCUUUAAGUUAUUGGUUAAUUUUAUUGGGGUGAUAAAAAAAUUAAAUAAACUUUUUUAAUAUAAAAAUAUUUAUUUGUAGAAUAUUGAUCCUAUAUUUUAGAUUAUUAGAUAAAAUUACCUUAGGGAUAACAGCGUAAUUUUUUUUGAGAGCUCAAAUCGAAAAAAGAGAUUGCGACCUCGAUGUUGGAUUAAAGGAAAAUUUUGACGCAGAAGUUAAAAUUUUAGGUCUGUUCGACCUUUAAAACU
rnacentral:rRNA from 1 species